AAAAGGUCAACUUCUGACCUCAGGGUCAACAUCCUAAAGGCCACAGAAAUACUACGAUCUGAUUGGACCGUCGGAAACGCAUGCGCACCAUGCGGGCGGGACGAUUACAAAAAGUCGUUACGAGAUAUGAGAUCAGACAUGACUACGGGGUUUUACGUAUCGUUUUCUACGCUACAAAUGGCACAAGGAGUCUGCUAUGGUCGGUCAGCAAUUUGGGAGAGGCUUGUGAGUGUAGGGGGAAUAUGGUGUAAGCUCAAACGGACGGAAAAUUAUCGUGAAUGAUGUUUUAGUUGUACGUUUGGCGGCCGCCCCCCUCCCACCCUGGGCGGCGCACUCCUCCCCGCAGGAUCCAACGUGUACUUCGUACAGCUGCAGUAGAUACCUCCUUCAGACAUGCAGCACAAGUUGUGAGGGUGGAUAGCCAGAAGUAAAGCAAGCAUCAGCCAGAAGUUUAGCUGCUGAGUACUUCAAUGCUGCUACACACUCCAUAGGAACUGACUCACCACACAAAGGACUCCAAACUCAUGCCAAGAAGUUCAGCAUUCAGACACAGAAGAAGGCAGCCUGUGCUUGUUUGGACCCUACACGGAGUGCUUCGCAGCAGUGGACUUGAAUAUAGAUGACAAGAGGAUGUCUGUACGCAGUUCCACAGAAUGUACUAGUAACUCAGGUGUUCACAGUUUGGCUGGACUUUAAAAGUUUACUCAUCUGUAUUUCAAUAUCUUUAUUGACAACAACUUUGUUCUUUUAUGUGAUUGCUGUUAACCUAAGGGCCACUAAAAUCUUCAUAGCUUUGAAGACUUCCAGUAUGAAGCAAAUUGUGUUUCACUGUUGUGUGAUUGUAUGAACCGUGUGAUUAUGAUACAUUUUACAUAAUUGUCAGAAUUACAUUGUACCUACACAGGUCCCAUACAAUAUGCUUGUACCUGCAUAUACAGGUGGUAUUUUGAGCCCUGACAUGCAUCUGACCCUCACCCUUCUCCAAAGGAAAUGGAUUUCUUAGCCAGAUCACUUGGUUGUUUUUAAUCUGUUAUGAACUUAUUAAUUCCCCAAUCUAUGAAGUUUCGAAAAUGAUGAAUUGUUGCUUGAAUAAACAUGUAGCAUCACAUGAUGCUAAUACUAGUAAUAGGAUCAUGUUGGCAAAGUGUAAAACAAUACAGGCCCCAUUGAAUGUUACAUAAGUCUUUCAUAGGUCAUUAAUGCACUGCAUUUCAGUGUCAUGUUACUGUUUCUUUCAUUCAUCUUGAUCAUAGUUGCACAUUUUGCUUUUUACAUUUGUUAACAGUGACAGCAUAGUUUGGAUGUUGCACACAAUAUAUGAUACAACUGUUACAGUACACAGUAAGUACAUUGCAAAUUCUUAACUGAGUGCUUAUUGUAGUCUCCAACUUCCAAGCAGACAUGUCAGCUUGUCCAAGUAGGGACAAAUAAGUUUCCAUGGGAUUUCUGUCCUUUGUAGUCUAUUCAGUUAUCUGCCUGCCAGUUGGUUCACUCCUAUUACUCAAGUCCCCUAUUAGUAUUUGACCAAGCCAGAGUCUGGUAGAGACUGGGCUAAUUGCAGAUGAAAUGUGAUGGGCAAAUAGUGUAUGGCAAAAAUAUUGUAUAUAAUUUCUAAAGCCUGUUUGUCAGUGCACAAUGACGGAGACUGAUGAUAGGUUUAGAUAGUGUGUGAUGAUAAAAUACUUUCUUAAAUAUCAUCCAUGAUAAAAGCUGCUUGUAACUGAUCAGCUUGUACACAGGACAGUUGACCAAUGUUCAAUCAUGCUAUUAACAUUAGCUAUAUAGCUUAUAAGAAAAGGCCACAAUUGUAUAUCUGUUAUUUAUCUGUUUACCCUUUAGAAAUCCUAACUGUCAUUGUUGAUAUGUUUAUCCAAUAAAUAAUGCUGAGUUUGGCCACAAA